rnacentral:rRNA from 1 species
UGCGUAGGCGGAUUAUUUAGUCAGUGGUGAAAUCCUGCGGCUUAACCGUAGAACUGCCAUUGAUACUGGUAAUCUUGAAUUUAGUUGAGGUAGGCGGAAUGUGUAAUGUAGCGGUGAAAUGCUUAGAGAUUACACAGAACACCAAUUGCGUAGGCAGCUUACUAAGCUAAUAUUGACGCUGAGGCACGAAAGCGUGGGGAGCAAACAGGAUUAGAUACCCUGGUAGUCC